AGAAAACAACCAGGAUAGACUGUGACUCACAGACCUUUUCAACUGAAGCAGAGGACAAAGGCUAAAGGAGGAGAAUUGCCAACCAUGUGAAGCCAGUCUGAGCUAUAGAGUGAGAACCCAUCUCCAACAAAACCAACACAAGACAAACAAGAAUAGAAAUGUCACUCUGGUAUUGUGGAUAUUUCUUCCUCCUCUCAUUGCAUUUACCCAUCACUGAACCUCUGUUUGUGGAUAUCAUCCUUGAUCCUGCUGGGCCCAAGUCUGCUCUCAUCUCCAGGGCAUCAGCCCUUACCCAUGGACCCCUGAAACAGAUCUUAAGAGUCCAUGCUGAAUCUAAGACAACUUGAUGAGAAUUGAGUAAGGAUAAUGCUUGACUGUGUCUGAGUGUUGUCACUGCUACAAUGGAAUAUCUGAGCUUGGGUAAG